UGGGGAAUAUUGCACAAUGGAGGAAACUCUGAUGCAGCAACGCCGCGUGAGUGAAGAAGUAUCUCGGUAUGUAAAGCUCUAUCAGCAGGGAAGAAAAUGACGGUACCUGACUAAGAAGCCCCGGCUAACUACGUGCCAGCAGCCGCGGUAAUACGUAGGGGGCAAGCGUUAUCCGGAUUUACUGGGUGUAAAGGGAGCGUAGACGGUGAGGCAAGUCUGAUGUGAAAGCCCGGGGCUCAACCCCGGGACUGCAUUGGAAACUGUCAGACUAGAGUGCAGGAGAGGUAAGUGGAAUUCCUAGUGUAGCGGUGAAAUGCGUAGAUAUUAGGAGGAACACCAGUGGCGAAGGCGGCUUACUGGACUGUAACUGACGUUGAGGCUCGAAAGCGUGGGGAGCAAACAGGAUUAGAUACCCUGGUAGU
rnacentral:rRNA from 1 species